rnacentral:rRNA from 1 species
ACACUCCUACGGGAGGCAGCAGUGGGGAAUUUUGGACAAUGGGCGAAAGCCUGAUCCAGCAAUGCCGCGUGCAGGAUGAAGGCCUUCGGGUUGUAAACUGCUUUUGUACGGAACGAAAAAGCUCCUUCUAAUACAGGGGGCCCAUGACGGUACCGUAAGAAUAAGCACCGGCUAACUACGUGCCAGCAGCCGCGGUAAUACGUAGGGUGCGAGCGUUAAUCGGAAUUACUGGGCGUAAAGCGUGCGCAGGCGGUUAUGUAAGACAGAUGUGAAAUCCCCGGGCUCAACCUGGGAACUGCAUUUGUGACUGCAUGGCUAGAGUACGGUAGAGGGGGAUGGAAUUCCGCGUGUAGCAGUGAAAUGCGUAGAUAUGCGGAGGAACACCGAUGGCGAAGGCAAUCCCCUGGACCUGUACUGACGCUCAUGCACGAAAGCGUGGGGAGCAAACAGGAUUAGAAACCCGGGUAGUCCCAUGA